rnacentral:lncRNA from 1 species
CGACCAUAGAGCAGACAACAGCCGAAGGCCACCAAUGGGUCUUCAAUGUAGCGAGAAACUCUCGCACCCGGAGGCGUCCUUCAGCUCCCUAAACAAACAUGCAUACUAGUUCAGUGAUAAUGGACGUCAUACUAAACUCUGAAUUAUACAAAGAAACUAAAAUUAAAAAGGAUACUAGACUAACAAAGGCCAGGGGCUCCUGACUUGGGACAGGCGCAAAAUUGAAAAGACC